UAGGGAAUCUUCGGCAAUGGGGGGAACCCUGACCGAGCAACGCCGCGUGAGUGAAGAAGGUUUUCGGAUCGUAAAGCUCUGUUGUUAAGGAAGAACGUGUGUGAGAGUGGAAAGUUCACACAGUGACGGUACUUAACCAGAAAGGGACGGUUAACUACGUGCCAGCAGCCGCGGUAAUACGUAGGUCCCGAGCGUUGUCCGGAUUUAUUGGGCGUAAAGCGAGCGCAGGCGGUUAGAUAAGUCUGAAGUGAAAGGCAGUGGCUCAACCAUUGUAGGCUUUGGAAACUGUUUAACUUGAGCGCAGAAGGGGAGAGUGGAAUUCCAUGUGUAGCGGUGAAAUGCGUAGAUAUAUGGAGGAACACCGGUGGCGAAAGCGGCUCUCUGGUCUGUAACUGACGCUGAGGCUCGAAAGCGUGGGGAGCGAACAGGAUUAGAUACCCUGGUAGUCCACGCCGUAAACGAUGAGUGCUAGGUGUUAGGUCCUUUCCGGGACUUAGUGCCGCAGCUAACGCAUUAAGCACCCCGCCUGGGGAGUACGACCGCAAGGUUG
rnacentral:rRNA from 1 species